rnacentral:sRNA from 1 species
CCCAUGUGCAAGGAUGACAUACAAAUUUGUGAAGCAUUCCAUAUUUUUAUAUACAUUUAAAAUUAAAGAAAGAAACAAAACAAUGGUACCCCUUUUUUGGUAAGAAAUAUGCCAGAAGAGAAAUAGUACAAAAAGUGUCCUCCCAAGCCAGCUAGGGAAGCCUCAAGACUGGCCUUUCUCUCAUUCUGAUAUAAGUUCCCUUUGGAAACAGAAGGUUGAGUGGGGGGAUUGGAUGGGGCUGGGUGAGGUGAGUGGGGGGCAGCUCUGUUCUGCUCUUGGGUUUUGCAGGUGGUUUCUGUACAUUGUCUUCGUCUUCCUCCUGGGCGCCAUCUGCACUCGAGAGGCCCUUCGCUAUGACUUCCUGAUAGCGGAAAAGGUAUCCCUCGUGGGCUUCCUGUUCCUUUUGGGCUUAUACAUCUCAUCCCUGGCUUCCUGUAUGGGAGGACUUUAUGGAGCUCCCCGCAUCCUGCAGUGCAUUGCCCAGGAGAAAGUGAUCCCUGCACUUGCCUGUCUGGGACAAGGGAAGGGGCUAAACAAAACACCCGUGGCUGCCAUCUGCCUGACCAGCUUGGUGACCAUGGCCUUUGUUCUUGUGGGUCAAGUGAACGUUCUGGCCCCCAUCGUCACCAUCAACUUCAUGCUGACAUACGUCGCAGUGGACUACUCUUACUUCUCCCUGUCCAUGGGUUCCUGCAGCCUGACCCCGGUGCCUGAGCUGGUGCUCAGGGAGAGCCCGGAAGGCCUCCACUGCUCUGAGCACCUGCUCUUAGAGAAAGCUCCCAACUAUGGCUCUGAGGGACCUGCC